AGUAAAAGUCGUAACAAGGUUUCCGUAGGUGAACCUGCGGAAGGAUCAUUAACGAUUGCAAUAAAUGCAAAGACAAAAACUCAUUGGAUUGAACGAUGAAACUCCUGACGAGUUCAGGAAGGAGACUGCCUUCCACGGCCAUCGUGGUCGUUGCGCUCUGCGCUGCGAACGAUGUAAAACAAACAACCGAUGGCCUCUCAUACAGUAUAAUAUCUCUCGCCAUGGCAUACAGGCCUGGCAUCUGGUACGAGUCUCUCGCAGUCUCAAAACCAACCUUACAACUCUGAGCGGUGGAUCACUUGGCUUGUGGAUGCUAUGAAGACCAUAGCUAAGUGUGAGAAUGGCAGCGAGCCGUCGCUAUAUGCGCUGUCCUCUUCUUAUCACAUGUCGAAUGCACAUUGCGCCCCACCCAGCGGUCGGCUAAACAACCUGCAGACAAAAGCCUGUGAGUUGGAACAAAGGCUAAUGUGUGGCCCUCGAGCAACGGCGGGGGAGCCAGGAGCACAUGAGCGUGCGGACCAACUACUCGUGAGUAGUCAGGCCUGACCCUAUGGUGGGGCACUCCUAGUCGAGUGUGGUGGAUCGGACUCACAUCUCUUGUUGCGCGUUCGCGCGUGAUGGAGUUUGAGUUUCUUUGUUGCUGGUGGCAUUUGGGUCGACAUCAGUCGUGCCCGUAAACAACUGCCUUGGCUCGUGCCUCUGUGCGUUUGUCUCUAUUAGGCGCGCACAUUGAAGGCCAUAGCUGGCGAUCACUCUUGCGGCCAGGGCACUACUUCGGUAGUGCGCACAGGUCCAAACGGAAUUGGUAAUACGAGAAUCGGGUCUCAAUACUCUGGCUGGCUUCUGCACACAAUCUGUGGAGUGAUGAUCACAUGGUUAUCGAGGUCCCUGCAUAACCGCUGCUCUGGUAAAGGCUCUUCUUUCUCGUAGUAUUCGGGAAUGACACGAGCUUUACCACUUUUGCUAGAACGCACAAAGACAACGCCUGACGAGAUCAGGUAAGUGCGUCAAAAGUAACAGAGUGGCUGGCAGUCUCGCAUCACUCCGCUUGUUGUACUUCUGUUUUACGUGAUGAUCACGUGUAGAGAGACCCGGUUUCUUGUGUUUUUGCAAUUGCCACCACCUCGACUUAGGAGAGGUUACCCGCUGAACUUAAGCAUAUCAGUAAGCGGAGGAAAAGAAACCAAUCAGGGAUUCCCUUAGUAGGGGCGACCGAACAGGGAUGAGCCCAGCGCAGAACCUCCCGGGCCACCCGGCCUGCGGCGGAAUGUUGCGUUAAGGGAAAGGUCGUAGUCAAACCCCACAGCCACGCGAGCUCUAAGUAAGUCACGAAUUGGCUAUCCCAACUAACGGCGGGAAAAUCUCCACGGAGGGUGUAAGACCCGUGUGGGCGCGUGUAAAUGCUGUGUGGGCUCGGCCUCUUUUCCCUGAGAGUCGCGUUGCUUGAGCAUGCAGCGCUAAGCAGGUCGUAAACUCGAUCUAAGGCUAAAUAUGUCCACAAGACCGAUAGCGAACAAGUACCGUGAGGGAAAGUUGAAAAGCACUCUGAAGAGAG
rnacentral:rRNA from 1 species